UACGGGGGGGGCAAGCGUUGUUCGGAAUUACUGGGCGUAAAGGGCUCGUAGGCGGCCAACUAAGUCAGACGUGAAAUCCCUCGGCCUAACCGGGGAACUGCGUCUGAUACUGGAUGGCUUGAGGUUGGGAGAGGGAUGCGGAAUUCCAGGUGUAGCGGUGAAAUGCGUAGAUAUCUGGAGGAACACCGGUGGCGAAGGCGGCAUCCUGGACCAAUUCUGACGCUGAGGAGCGAAAGCCAGGGGAGCAAACGGG
rnacentral:rRNA from 1 species